ACACGGACAGGUGAGACAGGGACAGGUGAGGAAGAGGGACACAGACAGGUGAGACAGGGACAGGUGAGGGAGAGGGACACGGACAGGUGAGGGACAGGUGAGGCGGAAGAAGAGGAGGACAAAAAAAAAAGGAGGAAGAGGGGGAAGAAAAAAAAGGAAGAAAGAAGAGAAGAAAGAGGAGGAGGAAGGAAGAAGAAGAGUAGGAAGAGGUAAAAGGAGGAGGAAGAGGAAAAAGGAGGGAGAAAGGACCCCCCCCCCCCCCCCCCCCCCCCCCCCCCCCCCCCCCCCCCCCCCCCCCCCCCCCCCCCCCCCCCCCC
rnacentral:lncRNA from 12 species